rnacentral:misc_RNA from 1 species
GAAAAUUCCAGAAAGGCUUUUCAAAAUCAGAGUAGACAGACAUCCAAGUCUGAUUUUUUGAACCGCUUCACCUACCACUCCAAUACGUUCCACUCUGUUUGGCGAGCGAGAAAAGGAUAGAAAAAGAGAGAAAAAUGCAGAUAAUGGGAGCUAUAAGUGAGCUUUUGGUGGCUAUUCCAUCAACGGCAGGUCUCAGGUGUCCUGAAUUCAGGCAUCAAUUGCAUUCUUUCUCUUUUCUCUCUUCUACCGUUUACAAAACAUGCCCUUCGUUUGGCAUACCAAAACUAGGAAUGGGAACCAGUAGGUAUCGGGAUAGAGGCAUAACUGUGAGAGCCUCAGGGGAUUCAAACAAUUAUUCGCUUCCAGUUUCUCCUCUUGAGUUUGAGUCCCCAGUGGGUCAGAUGUUGGAACAAAUAUUGCAAACCCAUCCACAUUUACUCCCUGCAGCCAUUGAUCAGCAGCUUGAGAACCUUGAAACUGAGAGAGAUACCCAGAGAAAUGAAAGUCCUCCAUCUCAAGAUUCCCUUUACAAGAGAAUUGCUGAAGUGAGGGAGAAGGAAAGACAAAAGACACUGGAGGAGAUCAUUUACUUUUUGAUAGUGCAGAAAUUUAUAGACAAUGACAUUUCUAUGAUCUCAAAAAUAACAGCAACCUCAGAUCCUACUGGACGAGUGGAUUUUUGGCCAAACCAGGAACAAAAAUUAGAGUCUGUUCAUUCGCCUGAAGCCUUUGAAAUGAUUCAGAGCCACUUAUCUCUAGUGCUGGGAGAUCGAUUAGUGGGCCCCCUUGAUACCAUUGUCCAAAUUAGCAAAAUAAAACUUGGAAAGUUGUAUGCUGCUUCUAUAAUGUAUGGAUAUUUUCUCAGAAGAGUUGAUCAAAGAUUUCAGCUUGAGAGAACCAUGAAUACCCUUCCCAAGCGUUUUGAUGAAAACAGGUCAAUAUAUUAUGAUCCAAGUCCAGAGAACCGGCUUUGGGAUCCAGAUUCUUUGAUAAGGAUUCCACCUGAUGAUGGAGGUGAUAGUGAUGAGGGCUAUAUGGAUACUGAUGGAGAAAAAAAAUAUAGACUGAGAUCUUAUGUAAUGUAUUUGGAUGCUGAGACACUCCAAAGAUAUGCAACCAUGAGAUCUAAGGAAGCCAUUUCUUUGAUUGAAAAGCAAGCUCAGGCACUAUUUGGGAGGCCUGACAUAAGGAUUGCUGAGGAUGGUUCAAUUGAUGCAACUAAUAAUGAAGUGGUUUCAGUCACUUUCUCAGGGUUGACUAUGUUAGUCUUGGAGGCGGUAGCAUUCGGAUCCUUCUUAUGGGAUGCAGAAAGUUAUGUUGAAUCAAAAUACCAUUUUGUUAACAGCUGAAGAUGUAGUCACUGUUGCUGCUGUGUAAAUUAUAAUGCAGGUUCUUCUUCUUUCGUUUUAGCUGGUAAAAAAAUGUGAAAGAUAUAGUUGUAAAAUGGAUGGAGCAUGAGGUAAGUACUGGCCAGUAAAUGCUAUUAACUUAUUAGAAGGACAAAUCUUUCUACAAGCAGUAAAUAUCUCAACCACUUUUUGUUACUGUUAAUAUCAGGAAGCUGUGACAAUGACAACAAAAGAAGACAGUUUGGUGAAACUGCCAUAAUCUGUCCUCGCAAUGCACUUUUUUUUUUUUUUAAAUUGAA